rnacentral:rRNA from 1 species
CCUACGGGGGGCAGCAGUGGGGAAUAUUGGACAAUGGGCGAAAGCCUGAUCCAGCCAUGCCGCGUGUGUGAAGAAGGCCUUCGGGUUGUAAAGCACUUUCAGUGGGGAAGAAAGCCUUGGGGCUAAUACCCUCGAGGAAGGACAUCACCCACAGAAGAAGCACCGGCUAACUCCGUGCCAGCAGCCGCGGUAAUACGGAGGGUGCGAGCGUUAAUCGGAAUUACUGGGCGUAAAGCGCGCGUAGGCGGUCUGAUAAGCCGGUUGUGAAAGCCCCGGGCUCAACCUGGGAACGGCAUCCGGAACCGUCAGGCUAGAGUGCAGGAGAGGAAGGUAGAAUUCCCGGUGUAGCGGUGAAAUGCGUAGAGAUCGGGAGGAAUACCAGUGGCGAAGGCGGCCUUCUGGACUGACACUGACGCUGAGGUGCGAAAGCGUGGGUAGCAAACAGGAUUAGAUACCCUUGUAGUC